CGAAUAAUCAUUACAAAUCAUUAGAUUAUUUAUAUUCUCUUUUUACAAACAUGGAUAAACAUCAAUGGUAUUUAUAUUACAUCAAUACCUUCGGCUUGCCAGAAGGUGAAAAUGCAAGAGUGACGCGAGAGUGAUUACCAUUCAGCGUGAACAGUAUGGUGUUACUGUUCAUCUAUUUAUAAGCACGUGGCGCAGUCCGGAUAAAAUUACAUUCAUGUCCCUGAUAUUUACUGAUAAUCAUAAGGCGGGCUAUCAAGGACUAAGUAGUUUUUCCCCUUUAGGUCGGUUUCAUCUUCCACCUUCAUCAUUAUACUAAGACGAAGCUCCUUCAGCCACAGCUUCAGCGUCCGUUCAUCCUGCCUUCGGGUUAUAUCUCCAUAUCACGCAUACCUUCAUCCCAAAGCCGAAGCCUCCUGUAGCAGUCUAUGUUACACUGAAAACAUAUUAAUCACGUUUUUUAGGACAUUCGGAAGAGAAAGGCCCCCAACAUAUAGUAUUUUCCUUCUCUUACUCAAAAUUCCAAAUUGCAAAUUAGGCUCUAAUUCCCAUUAUCAACAUUAUUAUAUUUUUAUUACUAUUAUUAUGAUUAUUAUUAAAUGCACAAACAAAUAAACUCCAACAUGAUGCAUAGAUUUUCUAGGCGUCAUUAGCUAAUUAAUCACUUUAAAUGGGAUUGUUUACAUGUUCUAAUAUAUAGAGAACAAAAGAUAUAAUGAGAUCAACUCAUUUCUUAUUAUUUACAAUUUGGGUAUUACAGAACACCAUUGUAGGUACACCUCGCAGUGAUUAGCGUCUAGAUCGGCCAAAAGAAUGCUAUUUCGGAACUGUAGAACAAAACAAGAGGAGGAAUACAAGUCCAAAAACAUUUCGGAAGUUACAGGAAAGUAUCAUGGGGCAUGAAAUGCAUGCUUUCGCAUAUGAAAGAAAUACACAAUGCUACACCAAUACCAACUCAAGAGUCCUGCAAUCUAUGUAGUAAUCCUAAAUUGACAUUGAAGCAUACUUAAUCUUUAUAAAAGUUUCAAUAACAGGCAUGAUAAGAUCAAAGCAAGCAGUUUAUAUUGACACUACACCCAGAAAUUCCAGAAACGAUCUUCCUUGUUUACAGAAACUUGUCUCUAGUUUUGCAGGUUAUCUUCUCAAAUACCCCCAUUGCCUAUGUACAUGGAUUAUUCUGUAGAAGUGACCCUUCCAGGAUUUGAUUAUGGAGUCUUUUUGCUGGCAUUUGAGGCAGGUGGGCCAAGUUAUCUUCUCUUAGCAUAUAUGUGCACAUUAUGUCACUGAACAAAUUACAGCAGCUCUCAGUUAUGGCAUCGGAUUAAGGGAUUAUCGAACAAUUUGCAAUGGUUCUUGUCUACCGAAGGUAUCACUACGCUAGGAUAUCAACAGUAGCAUUCCAAAGAACCAAACUAGACAUUACUUCAAUUGAGAUGCAUAAGUUUUAGACAACAAUUAAAUCAUUCACAACCGGGCAAAAACUAACCCUAAUCAUUAUUUCAAAUAAUGAUCAUACAAUGAACAAAUUGAUUACUUGAACCACGAUCUCACCAGUGUAGGGCUCCAAACCGCAGUCUUCCAUCUCCCCCACCCAACGACCUGGCUUCGGAUCCUGUCUAGAGGCAUCUGUGAAGCGAGAGUACUCUCUAGAACGCUGGUUUCCACGAGCGUCGUUGGACGAGCACGCGGCGGCCUGAACAUGGUGAAGACGGCCGUGAUGGCAACGAUUGUGCACGGCAGCAGAAGCGGGAGCGGAAUAGCACACAGAAGGGCACGAGGACACAGAAUCGAACAGUGCGGGGAGCAGAAGGUCGUGUGAGGGCACGAGAGCGCGAGGGGGAGAUGGCCAAUCGCACAGCCUCGGCAAAGAUACCAAACGAAGGAAAAGCUAUGACGCGAGUCUGUUGAAA
rnacentral:lncRNA from 1 species